rnacentral:tRNA from 1 species
GCCCCGGUAGCUCAAUCGGAUAGAGCAGCAGCCUUCUAAGCUGCGGGUUGCGUGUUCGAAUCACGCCCGGGGUGCCU